GUACACUCCUGCGGGAGGCAGCAGUGAGGAAUAUUGGACAAUGGGUGGAAGCCUGAUCCAGCCAUCCCGCGUGCAGGAAGACGGCCCUAUGGGUUGUAAACUGCUUUUAUCUGGGGAUAAACCUACUUACGUGUAAGUAGCUGAAGGUACCAGAAGAAUAAGCACCGGCUAACUCCGUGCCAGCAGCCGCGGUAAUACGGAGGGUGCAAGCGUUAUCCGGAUUUAUUGGGUUUAAAGGGUCCGUAGGCGGACUGAUAAGUCAGUGGUGAAAUCCGACAGCUUAACUGUCGAACUGCCAUUGAUACUGUUAGUCUUGAGUAAGGUUGAAGUGGCUGGAAUAAGUAGUGUAGCGGUGAAAUGCAUAGAUAUUACUUAGAACACCAAUUGCGAAGGCAGGUCACUAAGUCUUAACUGACGCUGAUGGACGAAAGCGUGGGGAGCGAACAGGAUUAGAAACCCGAGUAGUCCCAUGA
rnacentral:rRNA from 1 species